rnacentral:rRNA from 1 species
UACGGAGGGAGCUAGCGUUGUUCGGAAUUACUGGGCGUAAAGCGCACGUAGGCGGCUUGGCAAGUCGGAUGUGAAAUCCCUCGGCUCAACCAAGGAAGUGCAUCCGAAACUGCUGAGCUUGAGUACUUAAGAGGAUCGCGGAAUUCCCGGUGUAGAGGUGAAAUUCGUAGAUAUCGGGAGGAACACCAGUGGCGAAGGCGGCGAUCUGGGAAGAUACUGACGCUGAGGAGCGAAAGCGUGGGGAGCGAACAGG